rnacentral:lncRNA from 1 species
CUGUGUGGGUUGGUUCAUCGUCAUCUUUGUUUUUCAAAGCAUUCAUAACAACAGAUUUACCACGCUUUUCCAGUCUUCGAACUUUGUUGGCUUUUUUGUUAUAAAAGGAAAAAAACAACAAAAAAUGAAGAUUUUGAUAGUUGCCUACAACCAAGCAAAGUUAUGGUACUAAUAAUUAUAACAACAAUAACAAUAAAGAUGAGGACAGGGAUAAGGAUGACAGAGUGCGAUAAUUCGCGUACUUACGUACCCGAAGUACGUCAUAU